UCCUCUAAAUACAUUUUUAAAAGCCCAAUAACCCUUAUCAAACGCAUUUUUGUCUUAGACCCCAAAAUUUGAAUGUCUUUUAACCAUCUGGGCUAAUGGGGAAGAUCUCUUCUUACCAAACGGCACCUUAUAUAUUUAUUAAGAAGCCAAAGCCAAAGCCAAAGGUGGAGCAACCAGUCAAGCAGCUAGCCGCUCAGUUUUUUGAGAUUUGCAUGUGGCCAUAACCAGUUCAAGAAAUUAAAUAUGAGAGAACACAAAAACUCACAGAUCUCAGCUCUAUCUUUGUUUUUGUUUUUCUUUAAUUAUUUAAUUAAUAAAAGCAGGUGAGGAAAGAGAGCGUCAUUCAUGAAAGUUAAAUCGAUGUUAUAUGGUUUCAAUUCCUUAAUGGACAAGCUAAGAAAGAUGGAAAGCAGCGGACCCUCACCUGUUUGUCUAUUAAUGGCCAAUGGUGUGAGCAGAGGUUUCAGCUUUUGCCUGCUUUCUGUUCCUGAAGGUGUGAAGGUGGAAGAGCAGCCAAAUAUAAAUGAAUGUGUGUGUGGGAUUGGAGCUGAUAUUCUCUCUCUCUUUGUCUUUGUUUCAAAGUUCAAACCCAACUAAUUAUCAUAUUGUUACUUGUUCUUUUUAAACCUUGUUCAAUGUACGUAGUAGAUGAGUAGGUAUUUGUUUCUUAAUCCUCUGCCAGAGUAAAUAGUACUCACUUUCUAACAACACUAUUUAGGCUGUGUUUGGAUUUUUUUCCACUAAACGGAUUUUUGGCAAAGCAAUUUUCUAAGGAA